UCGGUAAAGGCGGCGGCAUUG
rnacentral:siRNA from 1 species